GUAUAGUGAAAUGGCCUCUAACUUAUUUUGAAUGGAUUUCUGGGAUAAAGUUCUUCAGUGAUAACAUGUUUGAAGACACUGAAGGAAUUAACCAGAAAGAAAGGAAGAGAAGAAGAAGAAGAAGAAGAAGGAGAAGGAGAAGGAGAAGACGGAAGAGGGAGAAGAGAGAGAAGAGGGGGGAGGAGGAGGAAGGAGAAAGGAGGAAGGAGGAGGAGGAGAAGGAGAAGAAGAAGAGGAG
rnacentral:lncRNA from 1 species